GUGCACCAGGCGCGAAACCUCCGCAAUACACGAAAGUGUGACGGGGCCAUCCCGAGUGCCGUCCGCUGAGGACGGCUUUUCCCCAGUGUACACAGCUGGGGGAAUAAGGAGAGGGCAAGCCUGGUGUCAGCCGCCGCGGUAAUACCAGCUCUCCGAGUGGUGGGGACGCUUAUUGGGCCUAAAGCAUCCGUAGCCGGCUGGGCAAGUCCUCCGUUAAAUCCAACGAUUCAAUCGUUGGGCUGCGGGGGAUACUGUCCAGCUUGGGGGCGGGAGAGGCCGACGGUAUUCCCGGGGUAGGGGUGAAAUCCUAUAAUCCCGGGGAGACCACAGUGCGAAGGCUGUCGGCUAG
rnacentral:rRNA from 1 species